UUAGAUGUUUUACUAAACCCAGCAGGUGACGCUUCCACUAGCCACGAGCCAAAUCUGCAGGUGCUUGGUGCCAGCGAGGGGCUCAGCCCUCCCCAAGAGCUCCCUUUGGGCACCUGCAAAUCGCCAGCAUCCCGCCAGCAUCCCACCAGUGCACCCGACCCCACACGCCGGCGGCUGCAGGCAGCAGCGAUCGCUGGGGUUUGGCAAUCCCCAGCCAUCCCGGCAGCGUGUCGGGAACGGCACGUUAGGGAAAUAUUAGAACUACUAUUAAUUAAAAAAACAAUAGCCAAAGGCGCCUUUCUGUUCUUUGCUGCUGCUUGCCAACAGGGUGAUUUCCCCGGCGCUGCUGAGGGCGCCGCCUUGCUUGCAGCAGCGCAAGGAGCCCCGCGAGCAUCUCCUGCAACCCUGCUUUGCACAUUACUGCUUGCCCUGGAGCCCCCAAAUUGCUGUAUAAUAACAACACACAAAAGCCAAGCUCCUGCCUGGGACUGCGUUUUUGAGACCCCCUGCAGCAGGGCCAGCGCGGCGCGAGCAAGGAGACAGAGACCCGCACGCGGUGCCGCCGUCGCUCCUUCCCCGCUCACUGCGAGGAGUCAGCAGCAGGAAGCAGGCGGCGUUUUUCCCUUCCCGCGCAUGGCGGUGGGUUUGCUUUGGACAUUGGUUCUCUCACCGAGUUACUGCAAUGGGUUUAAUCUGCGCCCUUCGCRCGAGCCCUGUAAUUGCAAGUCGAUGAAGCCCGAGGGCUUUGCGGCGCGGAAGGGGCCGCGCUUGGCUCCCUGCGCCUGGGAAAGUCCCAGUGAGGGUUCGCAGGCGAGAAAUACGGGCGCUUGGGGCAGAAACGCCGCGAGAGCAAGCGGCUUCCCGCGCAGGGGCCGGGAAAGCCAAGGAUGCGGCGACGAGACGCGGGCCGAGCGCCCAGCACCUGAUCCCGCGGCGCCUGAAAGCUCUCCUGCAACGCUGCCCACGAGCCACGGCCGGCCCUCGGAGUCAAAUAGGGGAGAAAAAAAAUCUGAAUUUGCUCCAGUCUACGCAGUAACGCUGUUUCCCAAACUCCAGGCACYGAGCUUGGACAGUUUUGUAGUGAUUAUGGAGCUGGGUACAAAAAUAUUUGUUUAA
rnacentral:lncRNA from 1 species